rnacentral:rRNA from 1 species
AUGCCCAGUGCAAUUCAGACCGGAUCGCUCUCCAAACAAUGGAGACACCUCCCUCACCAGCUCUAUUGUCUGCUCAUAGGUGAAUCUGACAUUCAGAGCGCUAGCUACGUCACGCUGGGUCAGAUAAUGGGGGCGUACACAGAAACGACGAGGAGAUUGCUAUCGUCCACGUGCGAAUGCGGCAGCUGUUCCAUCAAGAGCCUGAGACUUACCUUUUACCUUUCAAAACCUUUCUCGUGCUCUAUUGGCCAUGCCGUCGGGGAUGUGGCCAAGAACGGCGAGACCGAAUGCCUCGAGUUUGUGAUAUUAACGCAUCUUGCGAGACCUAGCAAUGCCCAACUUGUCUCGUUUGGACAGCGGUUCAUGUCUCUUCCACUCUUGCCCUGUCGCCUUCAGAUGGCUCACAAGACUAACUCUCCACAACCUUGCAUUUGGAGACUCGGAUGUCCCCAACCUCCUCCAUGCUUGUGA